ensembl:lncRNA
AGAAAAGCAUGAAUGCAUUUGAAAAUUAUGCUGGUUAUGGUUUCAUCUGUUAAAUGUAAUGCACAACCAAGACCAUUUGUUUUUAUCACUUUACACAUUUAUUCUGGGGUCCAACGAGGAACUAAAAGCUUCUGCUUGAUGAUAAACAAAAGGAGAAGAAUGUAAUUUCAAAAAAACAUUUUCAUGCAUGGAUUUUCUCUUCAACCACCUUUGACCUUUUUCAAAAGGUGCCAAUGAGAGGACGGAGGCCAACUAAUUUAUAGCUGGGAAACCAUCUCACCUUUGAGAAUACAUUCCAAUUCUCAAGUCUAUUGUUGAAAACCAUGCCUUCUUUUAGAAUAUCUUUCUAUUUUAGAGUUAGUUCCACAAUAAUUCCACCACAUCCAGAUGACAGAGAAUAGUGCAGGUGUCCGAUAGGCCGUUCUGAGAGAUGGGGAGGGGCUACCUACACUAACCACACACCAAAAGAGGAGGGGGUUGGGGCUGUAAUUGUAGAGCACCAAUAGAAGACAGCUAUCAGACUGUAAGACUGCCAUCCCCUUAAUCUUCAUACAGUAUAAACAUAUUAAACAGCCCUGUCUCACAUACCUCUCUACAACACAGGAAACACCUCCCUCCAGAUAACAGACAUACCUCUCCACAACACAGGAAACACCUCCCUCCAGAUAACAGACAUAUCUCUCCAGAACACAGAAAACACCUCCCUCCAGAUAACAGACAUACCUCUCCUGUCACAGGAAACACCUCCCUCCAGAUAACAGACAUACCUCUCCUGUCACAGGAAACACCUCCCUACAGAUAACAGACAUACCUCCCCACAACACAGGAAACACCUCCCUCCAGAUAACAGACAUACCUCUCCACAACACAGGAAACACCUCCCUCCAGAUAACAGACAUACCUCUCCUGUCACAGGAAACACCUCCCUACAGAUAUCAGACAUAUCUCUCCAGAACACAGGAAACACCUCCCUCCAGAUAACAGACAUACCUCUCCUGUCACAGGAAACACCUCCCUACAGAUAACAGACAUACCUCUCCACAACACAGGAAACACCUCCCUCCAGAUAACAGACAUACCUCUCCAGAACACAGGAAACACCUCCCUCCAGAUAACAGACGUACCUCUCCACAACACAGGAAACACCUCCCUCCAGAUAACAGAC